CAUACUGAAUAAGUAUUAAAAACUACAAUAAAUGGAUGGUAAAAUAAUCUAUAGAUUCAGGAGAAAAAUGGCUGAAGGAAAGAAACUGUUCUUGUGUCUGGUAGUUUUUGUGUACAGCUACGCAUCCAUAAAUGAUUAUUUUUCAGUGGGUUGGAUUUAAAUUGGUAUAAAAAACAUUGAAAAAAACCGGUUCAAACAAGACUAUGCGAUCCCCGGUAAGUAAUAUUAUAUUUAUGUAUUUUAGGUCACUGCCAAGCUGAGCUUAGAUUUUAACAUGUACUGUUUAACCAUGAAAUUUAAAUGUGAUAGGGUAAAACCCAGUGCAUUUAACAUAAUGCUGCACUUUAGAAAAUGGGUUGAAAUAUAACAUGUUGUUUGGAGCUGGGUUCCGACUAUCGGCUUGUGUAGCUCUCGGGAGACCUCUGUUUUCCACCCGGUUCUCCCCUCCCCGCAGCUCGGCGCAUCUCUGUCUGAUCGCGGCUUCUGUCUGCUGCGCGGUCUGCCGACUUGUGGAGCUCUGGGAUGGAAACCUUUCCACCCGGUUCUCCCCAGCGGCAGCUCUGCGCAUCUCAGAUCGCAGCGGCGCUUGUCUGCCGUGCGGCUGCCGGCUUGUGGCGGUUUUACCCAGCGGUCAGCCCGACGUAUCUCUGGCUCAGAAGCUCUGGUGUUGUGCACAGUUAACUCCGGUUGUAGCUAGGUUGCUACUUCUGUUAGCUUAGCUCCCACCUCCGCGUUAGCUUCAGGUUAGCUUGUAGCUAGUUCGACUGGGUGUUGUCAGUUGAUCCCAGCCUUACAGCCCCACCCUCAGCUCCACCUCUCUCCCUUUUUGUGGAAUUGUCUGGGCUUGGCGGAACCUGUGACACGGUCAAAAUGGCGGUGGUGGCCACCUCCCAUUUUUCUUCAAAAACGUGUUAUUGGAGUCUAUGGAAACCCACUGUCCAAUAUUUAUAUGUCGAUGGUCAAAAAGGCUGAAUCUCUAUUAGUUUUUAUUCACAGUUUGGCCCUCCCCAUUUGCUGGCAUGGUACAUUCCUAUUGGAUCAGUAGUACAUGGAAAUGUGUAGAGACCUGUGUGCAUAACAAAUCUCAUCUUCAAUGAAUAAUAUGUGAAAAUCAUAGGUGGUGGCUUUAUCUAGUCCGGUGUUUCCCAACCCUGCUGUCCUCAGGGCACACUGUCCUGCAUGUUUGUUUUCCAUGUUGCCUUUUUAACUGCUGCCACACACCUGACUUAAAGGAAUAAGCGAUUAACAGGCAUCUGCAGCAUGUGAUGUCCUCCUGAGGAGCCAACGUAAAUCAAAUGUGCCGAAGCAGAGACAUGGAAAACAUUUAGGUUUGUGCACGCAUGCGCGAUAUUAGCAAUCCAGCUCAGCAUUCAAAUCACAACCACCGGAGAAAUAACACAUCAUGACGAGCCGGCAACGGAGCUCAAAGGUUUGGGAGCAUUUUACGAAAACAAAUGAGAAGCAAGUAGAGUUCAAACUCUGUAAGGUGACACUAUCAUAGGUCUAGGAACAACUGUAUGUUAUUAUGUUUAGAACAUGUUUGAAUGUCACAUAUUUGCUCUAAUGUUACAAACGAUAAGGAUUUAUUUUAUGUCGCUACGUUACAGUGCUAAAAAAAUCGCUCUUCUUCUACAAUGGAUGAGUUUCUUACAAUGCCAACCACGUGCACACCUCAACAAGCCAACGUCCUGACCAUUUUGAACAUGCUGGUAACGGACAUGAGACCCCUGUCCGUGGUCAGGGAUCAAGGUUUUAAAGAUGUGAUCAAGAAGUUCAACCCAGAAUACUAUGAAAACUAUCUACCAGACCGAUCACAUUUCACCACCAUGAUGGAGGAGAAAUACGAGACGACCUUCCAGAAGGUAAUGCAGGCCCUCAGAGCUGUGAAUGGUUCCCUGACUGCUGGCUUGUGAACCAGCCGUGCUACAGAGGCGUACCUUGGUGUGUCCUGCCAUUGUCUGAGCAACGAUUGGAACAUGAAAAGCUUCAACCUUUCCACCAUGUCUCUAGAGGAGAGGCUCACUGGUACAAAUAUAAUGACUUGGAUUGAAGAGGUUUUAGCUUAGUUAGAAAUCGUGCCUGUUAAAAUUAAAGCAGUAGUUCAUGAGAGUGGGUCUAAUGUGGUAGCAGCAAUGAGACCGCUUGAAGAGAAACAUGCCUGGGCCUCUAUCCGCUGUGCUGGACACACUCUCCAGCUCCUAAUGAACACUGCUCUCAAAGAAACCUGCAUCAGCAGAGCAUUAUGUGCUGCUAGGCAGCUAGUGGAGCACUUCAACAAAGUUGAGCUGGCAAGUACAAAGCUGAAGAUGAAACGGGAGCAAAUGAAUGUGAAAAAAAUAUUCACUGAUCCAAGAUGUCAGCACAAGAUGGAACAGUACAUUCCACAUGAUAGACAGACUCCUCGAACAGCGAUGGCCUCUCACUGCCACUCUUUCAGAUCCUGAGGUGAAACCAAGAGGGAAGCAGUACAUCGACUUGAAGCCAGAGAAGUGCUUGAUGAACUCAAGAAAGUGUUGGUGCCUUUUGAGACCGCUUCUGUUUACCUUAGUGGUCAACAGUACACAACCAUUUCAGGUCUUCCACAGUUCAUCGAAGGUCUGACACGGUCUGUAAACUACAGCCAAUUUCAGACAAGCUCAGGGAAAUCUUCCAGUGCAGAUGCAGAAAAAGGGAUAAAGCAGAGAUGGGGAAGCAUCUGUACAGUUUUUGAAGGGAAAGAAAACAUGGUUGUUCUUGCAGCUGCCUUGGACCCCAGACACAAAAAGCUAACAUUUUUGGCUCCUGAAGAUGUCAUCAGAGUGCAAGGGACCAUUGAAGUGCUUGCUGUCAAAGAAGAAGCAAAAGCUGGAACAGAUGAGCUUACACAACUGCAGCGGGCUGAUGAUUCAGGUGUAGUUGAGAAGUCUGCUCUGGAUGCUCUCCUUCAGUCCGAUACAGAAAGUGAUGAUGAGAGUGAGCAGGAGGAGGAAGAUGCCCAGGACAGAAGGGUCCAGAUAGUGAGAGGGGAAGUAAAGGUGUAUCUUUGAGAAGCUGCAAUUUCUGAGAGAGAUGAUCCUCUCAAAUGGUGAAGUGAAAAUGAAGGCUGUUUCUCCACACUUUCUAAGCUGGCUAAAUCUUUUCUGUGCAUCCCUGCCACUUCCACCCCAUCUGAGCGGAUCUUCUCUGCAGCUGGGAGCAUCUGCUCUCAUGUUAAACAUGUUAAAAUGCUAUCUUUCCUGACUGUAAACCAGAACCUUGUGUGACUAUUUUAGCAGGAUACAUUUCAGUUUGUGAGCACAAGUCAUUUUUUAGUUUUAGUUUUAGUUGCUUACACCCAUUUGACAUUGUAGCACUUGUAUUAACAUGUUACAACAACAAAGUUAAUUAAAAGUUGUUUGAUAAGCAAUAAA